CUUUAGGCUUAGGCUUAGGCUUAGGCUCAGGCUUAGGGUUAGGCUUAGGGUUAGGCUUAGGCUUAAGCUUAGGGUUAGGGUUAGGCCUAGGCUUACGCUUAGACUAAAGCUUAGGCUCAGGCUUAGGCUUAGGCUUAGCCUUAUGCUUAGGCUUAGGCUUAGGCUGAGGCUGAGGCUUAGGGUUAGGCUUAGGCUUAGGCUCAGGCUUUGGCUUAAACUUAAGUUCAGGCUUAGGCCUAGG
ensembl:ncRNA ZC123.8 ncRNA